rnacentral:rRNA from 1 species
UACGAAGGGUGCAAGCGUUACUCGGAAUUACUGGGCGUAAAGGGUGCGUAGGUGGUUUGUUAAGUCUGCUGUGAAAUCCCCGGGCUCAACCUGGGAAUGGCAGUGGAUACUGGCAAGCUAGAGUGCGGUAGAGGGUAGUGGAAUUCCCGGUGUAGCAGUGAAAUGCGUAGAGAUCGGGGAGGAACACCAGUGGCGAAGGCGGCUACCUGGACCAGCACUGACACUGAAGCACGAAAGCGUGGGGAGCAAACAGG